ACUUUUGGAAGACGGGCCACGUCGUUCCGCAAGACUUCGUAAACCAAAUCCCAAAUAUUUGGGAUAAUCUGUUACGGAAGAUAGCAUGCGGCGUGACUGGGUCAAUGGGCAAGACUGGGUCCGUGAGCAUAUACGCGUGAGGCGCGCAUGAAUUGCGCGCGAGCGUAGCAUGCAUAACUGAUCAGCGAGCUUAUACGCAUGAAGCGCGCAUGGCAUCCGCACAAACGCACGAAGCGGAGGAUUUCCGUUUAGUGUCACUCUA